rnacentral:rRNA from 1 species
UACGUAGGGGGCUAGCGUUGUCCGGAAUCAUUGGGCGUAAAGCGCGUGUAGGCGGUCCGGUAAGUCCGCUGUGAAAGUCGGGGGCUCAACCCUCGAAAGCCGGUGGAAACUGUCGGGCUAGAGUGCGGAAGAGGCGAGUGGAAUUCCUGGUGUAGCGGUGAAAUGCGCAGAUAUCAGGAGGAACACCAAUUGCGAAGGCAGCUCGCUGGGACGUUACUGACGCUGAGGAGCGAAAGCCAGGGGAGCAAACGGG